rnacentral:lncRNA from 10 species
UUUUGAGCAGCAAGUCCCAAGAUCAAGAAAUCAGAAGGAACUAAUACUUUAACUAAUUAGUAGUAAUGAAAAUUUACUAGACAUCAAUGACAAAUUUACAAGGCAAAUUUAUUUCCAAAGUACAUUCAUAUAUAUCACAGGGUCUCACCCUGUCACCCAGGCUAGAGUGCAGUGACACAAUGAUAGCUUAUUGUAACCUCAAACUCCCGGGCUCAAGGGAUCCUCCUGCUUCAGCCUCCCAAGUAGCUAGGAUUACAGGUGAAGAGAAAUGAAGCUAACAUGUUGAAAUGAGUGGCCCCAAGGAUUACCAGAAAAGAAGUUAAUGUUCAGAAAGAGAAAAUAAAAGUUCUCUGUAUUUUAUUCCCCUCAGAGAUAACAAAAGUUGACAUUUUGUUGUAUUUUUCUCUAAGCUUUUUUUUUCCUUUGCUAUAAAUGCAAAAGGCAUCACAAUAUUUGGUAAACAUUUUCCUCUUAUUCAGUAGUUUCUGAAAACAUGAUGUUAAAUAGUUGUGUAACAUUCUCUCAUGCAGAUGUCCCAUAGUUCAUAGUUCAUUUAACUUCUCUUUUCCUGUGGGGUAUUUGAGCUGCUUCCUAUUUGCCUGUGUAAAGAAUCCUGUGAGAAACAUGUUUGCCCCUUCCCUUCCCUUCCCUUCCCUUCCC